rnacentral:rRNA from 1 species
AGAACGAACGUUGGCGGCGUGGAUUAGGCAUGCAAGUCGAACGAAUCCCACGGGGGUAACUCUGUGGGGGAAGUGGCGAAAGGGGCAGUAAGGCAUGGAUAACCUACCCUGGGGAUCGGGAUAGCCAUUCUAACGAGUGGGUAAUACCGGGCGAUGCGGCGAGGAGGCAUCUUUUUGCCGUGAAAUGAGUUUCGCCUCGGGAGGGGUUCAUGUAGUAUUAGCUUGUUGGUGAGGUAACGGCUCACCAAGGCGAAGAUGCUUAGCGGGUGUGAGAGCACGACCCGCGCCACUGGCACUGAGACACUGGCCAGACUCCUACGGGAGGCUGCAGUCGAGGAUCUUCGGCAAUGGGCGCAAGCCUGACCGAGCGACGCCGCGUGUGCGAUGAAGGCCUUCGGGUUGUAAAGCACUGUCGAGGGGGAGGAAUCUCCGCAAGGAGUUGACCUAUCCCUGGAGGAGCACGGGCUAAGUCGUGCCAGCAGCCGCGGU